AGUUAGCGUUCACAAAGCUCACUAAAUGAGCCGCAAAGUUAGAAAUAUGAAUUUGUGACCGGAGCAUGUUCAUACUAAACUCUUCAAUUUAAGCUCAUAUUCACAUAUUUUUUGGUUCAGUGAACUAUACGUCAUAUCGAAGAUGGCAAACUGGCAAAACUCCAAAUGUCUGUCCAUGUUGUCCGGUAGCACGACCGAUGGCUACUACCAGCUGGUGGACGACCAUGGAAGCACCUGCACGGUCUAUUGCGACUUCAACUCUGAACCGAGAGUGGCCUGGACCCUGAUAAUAUUUUUCCGCCUUGCCAACAAUGCAUCGCCCCAAUUCAAGAACACCCCGCUGUCUCGUGAUGUACCGCGGUGAACGAGAACUCUCCCAACUGUCAUGCUCACAGGUUGGGUUUCAAAACGCUGAUUAUGUUGCAGCCACUGGCAUCCCAGAAAAUCCUUUUCCAGUUAUUGUUAGGGACGGACGAUUUGAUAUUCAACGGGGGGAGGGGGUGGCUGAUUUCACCAAAAAAAUGGAGCAAGGCUCUGGCCCUUAAAAAACCUCGCAAGCAAAGAGUGGAAGAAAAAAUCGCCACAUCUUUCUGGAAAAAAAGAGAACAUUAAAAAUGUUCAGGGAUAAAAACAAGCAAAAAAAUUGCCACUACCCCGUCAAAUAUCAAAUGGGCCGUCCCUAACUAUUUUACUUGCGCAGUCAACCUCCCCGUGUCUACCAAGUGCCAGGCCCCUGCUUUCUAUUAGCUGAUUUCUCUAGCUAUUCCAUACGUAAUUCAACUUCUCAUCUGUUCCA